CAGUCGCCACGGGAAUACGAAGGGGGCUAGCGUUGCUCGGAAUUACUGGACGUAAAGGGCGCGUAGGCGGACAGUUCAGUCGGGGGUGAAAGCCCGGGGCUCAACCUCGGAAUUGCCUUCGAUACUGGCUGUCUUGAGUAUGAGAGAGGUGUGUGGAACUCCGAGUGUAGAGGUGAAAUUCGUAGAUAUUCGGAAGAACACCAGUGGCGAAGGCGACACACUGGCUCAUUACUGACGCUGAGGCGCGAAAGCGUGGGGAGCAAACAGGAUUAGAUACCCGCGUAGUCCCUGUCUCUUAUAU
rnacentral:rRNA from 1 species